ensembl:lncRNA
GUGUUGGUCUGUGGCUUCUAGGGCUGUGAAAGUUUCUUUAAAUUAGGACAGUGGUACCUCUGGUGGGAGAAGGGAGGAGAGGAAUUGGUGAUACAAUCAUUCAGCAAGAACUGACUGUCUGCCCACCAUGUGCCAUGAUGAAGCUGAGGUUCUGAGGCUUAAACUGGAGACAGCCAUGCAGUACGAUGGAGUCUUUUUUUAAAAAACCUAAAGUGAGCUUCCAUUUAAAAGUUUCUCACAGUCUUUAUCUAGACAAACCCUCAGUUAUUCAGGGAUAAAUUGUCUUUGUGUUGGAAAGGCUCACUUGAGUGGCCCUUCUUGGUCACAGGAGGCAAGCCGGCGAGGGCAACUCAGACAGGGGCCAGGCCUUCCUAGGAUGAAGGGGAAGGAGCCCUUGAUAGUGGGUGAAGAUUGUACGGCUGGAGGAUGAGAUGGUUUCAGCCAUCAGCUAGCAGAGAAAAUCACAAGGGUGCUGAUGGG